GACUCCUACGGGAGGCAGCAGUAGGGAAUAUUGCACAAUGGAGGAAACUCUGAUGCAGCCAUGCCGCGUGUGUGAAGAAGGCCUUCGGGUUGUAAAGCACUUUCGGAGGGGAGGAAGAAAAUGACAUUACCCUCAGAAGAAGCACCGGCUAACUCCGUGC
rnacentral:rRNA from 1 species